GCUACCUUAGCUCACUAGGCAGAGCAAUUAACUCGUAAUUAAUAGGUAACAGGUUCGAAUCCUGUAGGUAGCACCA
rnacentral:tRNA from 2 species